GACGAACGCUGGCGGCGUGCUUAACACAUGCAAGUCGAACGGAAAGGCUCCAGCUUGCUGGCGUACUCGAGUGGCGAACGGGUGAGUAACACGUGGGUAAUCUGCCCUGCACUCUGGGAUAAGCCUGGGAAACUGGGUCUAAUACUGGAUAUGACCUUUCUCCUUAUGGGGUUUGGUGGAAAGUUUUUCGGUGUAGGAUGAGCCCGCGGCCUAUCAGCUUGUUGGUGGGGUGAUGGCCUACCAAGGCGACGACGGGUAGCCGGCCUGAGAGGGUGAUCGGCCACAUUGGGACUGAGAUACGGCCCAGACUCCUACGGGAGGCAGCAGUGGGGAAUAUUGCACAAUGGGCGGAAGCCUGAUGCAGCGACGCCGCGUGAGGGAUGACGGCCUUCGGGUUGUAAACCUCUUUCAGCAGGGACGAAGCGUAAGUGACGGUACCUGCAGAAGAAGCACCGGCUAACUAUGGG
rnacentral:rRNA from 1 species